rnacentral:rRNA from 1 species
GAUGAACGCUGGCGGCGUGCCUAAUACAUGCAAGUCGAGCGAACAGACGAGGAGCUUGCUCCUCUGACGUUAGCGGCGGACGGGUGAGUAACACGUGUAUAACCUACCUAUAAGACUGGGAUAACUUCGGGAAACCGGAGCUAAUACCGGAUAAUAUAUUGAACCGCAUGGUUCAAUAGUGAAAGACGGUUUUGCUGUCACUUAUAGAUGGAUCCGCGCCGCAUUAGCUAGUUGUUAAGGUAACGGCUUACCAAGGCAACGAUGCGUAGCCGACCGGAGAGGGGGAUAGGCCACACUGGAACUGAGACACGGUCCAGACUCCUACGGGAGGCAGCAGUAGGGAAUCUGCCGCAAUGGGCGAAAGCAUGACGGAGCAACGCCGCGUGAGUGAUGAGGGUCUUCGGAUCGUAAAAAUCUGUUAUUAGGGAAGAACAAAUGUGUAAGUAACUAUGCACGGCGUGACGGUAACUAAUCAGAAAGCAACGGCUAACUACGUG